rnacentral:siRNA from 1 species
CUGUGGACUUCAAACUGAAAGCCU